CAAAGUGUAGCUUAAAUUAAAGCAUCCGGCCUACACCCGGAAGAUCUCACAACAACCGAUCACUUUGA
rnacentral:tRNA from 2 species